rnacentral:tRNA from 1 species
GAGGGUAUAGCUCAGUGGUAGAGUAUAUGCUUAGCGUGCACAAGGUCCUAGGUUCAAUCCCCAGUGCCGCCA